rnacentral:miRNA from 1 species
UCUUCUUCAUCAUCAUCAUCA